rnacentral:tRNA from 1 species
UAGCUCAGCUGGGAGAGCACCUGCCUUACAAGCAGGGGGUCACAGGUUCGAGCCCUG